AGUGGCGAACGGGUGAGUAACACGUGGGUAAUCUGCCCUGAAGUUGGGGACAAGGCGGGGGAGAAGCGAGCUAAUACCGAAUGAGAUAGUCUUUAGAUAUGUGAGGAUUAUGAAAGGUUUCGGCCGCUUCAGGAUGAGCCUGCGGUCUAUUAGCUAGUUGGUGAGGUAAAUGCUCACCAAGGCUACGAUAGAUAGCCGGCCUGAGAGGGUGUACGGUCACAUUGGAACUGAGACACGGUCCAGACGGCUACGGGAGGCAGCAGCUAAGAAUAUUCCGCAAUGGGCGAAAGCCUGACGGAGCGACGCCGUGUGGUUGAUGAAGGCCUUACAGGUUGUAAAAACCUUUUAUUCGAGAAGAUGGGCAAGCCUCGAGCUUGCUUGACGGUAUCGAACGAAUAAGCCCCGGCAAAUUACGUGCCAGCAGCCGCGGUAAUACGUAAGGGGCUAGCGUUGUUCGGAAUUAUUGGGCGUAAAGGGCGUGCAGGCGGACUAAUAAGUCGGGUGUGAAAUCUUAUGGCUUAAGCAUGAGCUAUUGCUCGAAACUGUUAGUCUAGAGUUUGG
rnacentral:rRNA from 1 species